CUGGGGCUGGGGGUGAGGUGGGCAUCAGGGUGGGCAGGGGUGCCGCGGCCUUGCCCUCACACGCCCAUCCCCCUAGCAGUCGUGACCUCUGAGGCCCUAGUCUGGCUGUCACAUGUCCUUGACGUCACCGUGGCCCUCUCCCUCUGAAGAGAAAUAUUUAAAUAAAGUCAGGCACUGUUCUCAGUCCUUUGUUAUAUUAACUAAUUUAAUCCUCACAUCAACUCUACGAAGUGAAUAUCGUGAAUAUAUUAUUCACAUUUUAGAGAUGAGACUGUCGAGGCACAGAGAAGAUAACUUGCCCAGGGUCACACAGGCGAGAGUCCGGGUGGGAACCCAGUCUAUUGCCCCUACCUGUAUACCUGCCUGGUAUGCAGUCAGCAAAAGGAAGAAUGGCAAAGAGACACAAAAGCGAUUUCUAUUUGUUCUGCUCAAGGGGUCAACAUUCCAUGCCCACAUGUACUGCACAUGUGUGUGUGUGAACAAUCAGGAUAUUUCCAGAUGAAGGAACUGGUGGUGACCUUCCCUUGAAGUGGCGAUGGCAAUAGCUGAUACUUACACACACACACACACACACACACACACACACACACGCACUUACAUAUACCAUAAGUAUACUUAUAUAGAGGUUGAAGCAUAUGAAAUGAUCAUUUGGGUAGGUAAAACAUGGCAAAAUAUGACAAUUUCAAAUGGUUCUACCAGAUAGCAUUCACUCUGGACCGGGCACUGAUCCUACGAGGCAGGAACUGUGAAAUCCCCCCUUUUUAUAGAUAAUGGAACUGAAGCACAGUGAACUUCAAUGCCUCCCGAAUAAAUUAAUAAUUAACAAAAUAUUCUGAGCACUUACUACUGUGCCAGGUAGUGUGACAAGCAUUUUUAAGUGGACAUUUUAAUUGAAUUCUCCUGACCAUCUACUGAGGUAUGGGGACCGCCAUCUUACAAAUGAGACACGUGAGUCCCAGAGAGGCUGAGAAACGAAUUCAAAGUUACACAGAUAAGGAGGGGCUGCUGGAUUUGAACCCAGGGGUUCUGUCCUCAGUCAGCUUAACUCCUUUUACUGAACCUUCUGGCACCCAUCUUGAGAGUCUGAGAUCCCUGCCCAAAGCCCAUGCCCGGGCCCUCUGACUCUUGGAGGCUCCCCCACUCCUAGCCCUCCCCAGCUCGGGGAGGGCGUCCUCACCGUGAUAGCCUGGAAGGAGCGAAACUCCAGGUGGCAGAUCUGCAGCCGCCUCAGCUCCUGUGUGUCCCCUGUGGCUUCCUGGUACUUGAGUUCCGGUCAAGGCUCUGCCAACCUGCCUGCUCGCCCUGCCCCCAUCUUCCAGACCCGCCCGUCUCUGCCCUCCGCCCUCCACCCGCUGCUCAUGGCCCUGGGAGGAUAUAAGGUAAACUGAAAGGAUUACUCCUGCCCCCCUCAGGGAAUCGGGAGAAAAGACUCUCAAGACCACCCUGAACCCCCAGGAAAUCAUGGGAGAAGACCCCCAGGAUUACUACAGACCCUACAGGGAAUCAUAAGAACUCCUUCCUCCAGGCAUUGGCUCCAAUUCCCCUUAACUAUACAGUCCCAAGGCAUUUUGGAGAGACUUCCUGUUGGCCGACCCCUGGGACGACUCUUGACCUCCCAGAGAAUCAUGGGAAAAGACCCCCCCAGAAUCAUUCCUGUCCUCCCCAGGUUCUGCCUUCAGGGAGACUCUUCCCAAUUGCCCUUUGCUCUAAAGCACGGCCCGCUCCCUCCCCCAGCCCUCAGGAAAGCAGCAGACCCUGAGAUCCCAUCUGUCAUCCCUCUCCCAGCUGGAGCCCCCACUGAGGUGACACACCCCACCCCAAGACAGUACUUUGGUGGGACCUGAGUCUUAGCCACCAGCCCGGGUCCCUGGAUUCGGAGAGAAGAUACAGGGGCAAAGUGGCCUCACCAGGGCUCUUCAGAGCUGGGCAGGGUCCCUGGGGCUGAGGCAGCUUCAAGGAAAGUUUAAAAAUAACCCUCGCUCUGCCUUGUGCCUCCCUGAGGCUCGUGUUCCAGUUGGGGAAAGAGGGUAAUGGAGAGUCAGGGGUGGUGGAGGAAGGAGGCAGCAGAAUUCAGGGUGGCACGGCCUUGGCUCUCACAAAAUGGGAUUAGAGACACUUAUGUUGGCUGUGUGACUUUGUGCUGGUCACUUCAUUUCUCUGGGCUUCGGUUUCCCCAUAUGAAAAAGGAGAGUCGUCCUGAGACCUUCCCAAGGAAUUUAUUAUGAACAUUCAAUGCCUUGCUCUUCAGAAGUGCUAAAUAAAGGACUUAGUUCACUCAGGCUGUUAAGUGGCCAGAGAUGGGAAAGUUGAACUUGAGAUAGAGAGAAAGUGAUGGGACAAACCAGAGGCCAGGCCUGGGGCGUGGGGUGAAAUCAGAGACUCUCAUAACGAAGGCACUGCCGUGUCCCAGGGGCAUCAUAAGGGUUCAGGGAAUCAGUAUUGACUGUGGUUAGCUGGUAUCGACUGAGUUCUGAAUACUUUUUAUUUUUUAUUUAUUUUCUUUUAUUUUUUUCUUUUUCUUUUUCUUUUUCUUUUCCGGGUGCCUGGGUGGCUCAGCCGGUUAAGUGUCCGACUUGGGCUC